AAUGAAAUGCCUGAAUAAAGGGUUAUUUUGAUAGAAUAAAUUAUGUAAAUUUUUUACUUUCAUUA
rnacentral:tRNA from 1 species